rnacentral:tRNA from 1 species
CGGGACGUGGCGCAGUCUGGUAGCGUACUUGCAUGGGGUGCAAGUGGUCGCUGGUUCAAAUCCAGUCGUCCCGA